rnacentral:rRNA from 1 species
UACGUAGGGACCGAGCGUUGUCCGGAUUCAUUGGGCGUAAAGAGCUCGUAGGCGGCUGUUCAAGUCGAACGUGAAAACUCGGAGCUCAACUCCGAGCCUGCGUUCGAUACUGGACGGCUAGAGUCUGGUAGGGGGAUCUGGAAUUCCUGGUGUAGCGGUGGAAUGCGCAGAUAUCAGGAGGAACACCAAAGGCGAAAGCACUCUGCUGGGCCGAAACUGACACUGAUAGACGAAAGCUAGGGGAGCAAAUGGG